rnacentral:rRNA from 1 species
AGAUUAAACUGAAGAGUUUGAUCAUGGCUCAGAUUGAACGCUGGCGGCAGGCUUAACACAUGCAAGUCGAGCGGUAACAGAUCUAGCUUGCU